rnacentral:rRNA from 1 species
UGGGGAAUUUUGGACAAUGGGCGAAAGCCUGAUCCAGCAAUGCCGCGUGAGUGAUGAAGGCCUUAGGGUUGUAAAGCUCUUUUACCAGGGAUGAUAAUGACAGUACCUGGAGAAUAAGCUCCGGCUAACUCCGUGCCAGCAGCCGCGGUAAUACGGAGGGAGCUAGCGUUGUUCGGAAUUACUGGGCGUAAAGCGUACGUAGGCGGUGACUCAAGUCAGAGGUGAAAGCCUGGAGCUCAACUCCAGAACUGCCUUUGAAACUAGGUCGCUAGAAUCACGGAGAGGUGAGUGGAAUUCCGAGUGUAGAGGUGAAAUUCGUAGAUAUUCGGAA